rnacentral:rRNA from 1 species
GACGAACGCUGGCGGCGUGCCUAAUACAUGCGAGUCGAACGCUUCUUUCCUCCCGAGUGCUUGCACUCAAUUGGAAAGAGGAGUGGCGGACGGGUGAGUAACACGUGUGUAACCUACCCAUCAGAGGGGGAUAACACUUGGAAACAGGUGCUAAUAUCGCAUAACAGUUUAUGCCGCAUGGCAUAAGAGUGAAAGGCGCUUUCGGGUGUCGCUGAUGGAUGGACCCGCGGUGCAUUAGCUAGUUGGUGAGGUAACGGCUCACCAAGGCCACGAUGCAUAGCCGACCUGAGAGGGUGAUCGGCCACACUGGGACUGAGACACGGCCCAGACUCCUACGGGAGGCAGCAGUAGGGAAUCUUCGGCAAUGGACGAAAGUCUGACCGAGCAACGCCGCGUGAGUGAAGAAGGUUUUCGGAUCGUAAAACUCUGUUGUUAGAGAAGAACAAGGACGUUAGUAACUGAACGUCCCCUGACGGUAUCUAACCAGAAAGCCACGGCUAACUACGUG